rnacentral:rRNA from 1 species
GAGACUCUGUGCGCGUGCAUAUCAAUAAGCGGAGGAAAAGAAACUAACUAAGGAUUCCCUCAGUAACGGCGAGUGAAGCGGGAAGAGCUCAAAUUUGAAAUCUUCAAGGUUCUGACCUUGACGAAUUGUAGUUUAAAGAAGUGUUUUCUGUUAGAGUUUUGGUAAAAGUUCUUUGGAAUAGGACAUCAUAGAGGGUGAGAAUCCCGUAUUUGACCAUUUCUUCCAGCUGUGUGAUACACUUUCAAAGAGUCGGAUUGUUUGGGAAUGCAGUCCAAGAUGGGUGGUAAAUUUCAUCUAAAGCUAAAUAUUGGCGAGAGACCGAUAGCGAACAAGUACCGUGAGGGAAAGAUGAAAAGAACUUUGAAAAGAGAGUUAAACAGUACGUGAAAUUGUCAAAAGGGAAGCGUUUGACACCAGUGUUGUUUAGUUGAAAAUCAAUUCAAUAAUUUUUGAUUUUAAGUAGUAUUGACUUCAUCAGCUUGCUGCUUUCUUUUCGGAAAUUAUUGAAUGCACUUUUCAGUUAACAAGUCAACAUCAAUUUCUUUUGUUGUAAAAGGGUAAGAGGAAGGUGGCUUACGCUUCGGCGUAAGUGUUUAUAGCCUUUUACCUCUGCAAUCGGAGAGAUUGAGGACAGCAGCGUAGACUCCUUCGGGGGUUAGAUACACUUGUGCUAAGCUAUAGCCUUGUAUAGACAACUUGUUGACUAUGCUCAGUCAUGUAGCUUACUCGCAUGUGCUACUUUACCUACGCUUAGGAUGUUGAACUCUAUCACACACA